GACGAACGUUGGCGGCGUGCUUAAUACAUGCAAGUCCACUGAAGCAGUGGUAGCAAUAUCGCUGUGGAGGUGGCGCACGGGUGAGUAACACGUAGGUAAUCUGCCUUCAGGUCUGGCAUAACUCCGGGAAACCGGGGCUAAUAGCAGAUGAUGCAGCGGCUCGACAUCGAGACAGUUGUUAAAGCUAUGGCGCCUGAAGAUGAGCCUGCGUCUGAUUUGCUAGUUGGCGGGGUAACGGCCCACCAAGGCAACGAUCAGUAACUGGUCUGAGAGGAUGAUCAGCCACACUGGAACUGAGACACGGUCCAGACUCCUACGGGAGGCAGCAGUAAGGAAUAUUGCUCAAUGGGAGAAAUCCUGAAGCAGCAACGCCGCGUGAGGGACGAAGGGCUUUUGCUUGUAAACCUCUGUAGUGAGAGAAAAAAAUCCCAAUCUUUGGGACAUGAUGGUAUCUCAAAAGUAAGCCCCGGCUAACUACGUG
rnacentral:rRNA from 1 species